rnacentral:rRNA from 1 species
GACGAACGCUGGCGGCGUGCUUAACACAUGCAAGUCGAACGCUGAAGCUCAGCUUUUGUUGGGUGGAUGAGUGGCGAACGGGUGAGUAACACGUGAGUAACCUGCCCCCUUCUUUGGGAUAACGCCCGGAAACGGGUGCUAAUACUGGAUAUUCACUGGUCUUCGCAUGGGGGUUGGUGGAAAGGGUUUUUCUGGUGGGGGAUGGGCUCGCGGCCUAUCAGCUUGUUGGUGGGGUGAUGGCCUACCAAGGCUUUGACGGGUAGCCGGCCUGAGAGGGUGACCGGGCACAUUGGGACUGAGAUACGGCCCAGACUCCUACGGGAGGCAGCAGUGGGGAAUAUGGCACAAUGGGCGCAAGCCUGAUGCAGCGACGCCGCGUGAGGGAUGGAGGCCUUCGGGUUGUGAACCUCUUUCGCUCAUGGUCAAGCCGCAACAAUGGUUGUGGUGAGGGUAGUGGGUAAAGAAGCGCCGGCUAACUACGUG